UGGAUUUGGAGCUACAGCCUCAGCUGAGCCUCUUCCUGCUAUAGACACAAGCCAAGGGCACCCAGCCCUGUGCAUGAAUUAGAAGGGCCAUCCAGACCCUCGAGGACUCCACCUUCAUAAAGAGAGGUACAGAGAACAUAAGUGAUUAUGUUCUUUAUAAAGAAUGAUGAGAGAAUCUGGGUCUGGCGUUCCAUGCACUUAGGAAGCUGAUCCACGGAGAUUGUGGUUGAAGGCUACUUUGAGACCCUAUCUCAAAAAACUCAACAUCAGCAACAACAACAGCAUCAUCAACAACAACAAUAACAGUAGCAGCAGCAAUAACAGCAACAAUAACGCAACGGCAACAACAACAUCAACAAUGGCAUCAACAACAAUAAUAACAGUAACAGCAGCAGUAACAACAACAACAACAGUAACGGCAACAGCAAUGGCAUAAAAAACAACAAUAACAGUAGCAGCAGCAACAGCAACAAUAAUGCAACAGCAACAACAACUAUAACAACAACGGCAUCAACAAUAACAGUAACAGCAGCAACAAUAACACAACAGCAACAACAACAACAGUAGCAACAACAACAGCAGCAGCAGCAACAGCAACAACAGUAACAGCAACAGCAACAACAGCAGCAGCAACAACAACAGCAGCAGCAACAGCAACAACAGUAACAGCAACAGCAACAACAGCAGCAGCAACAGCAACAGCAGCAGCAACAGCAACAGCAACAGCAACAGCAACAGCAACAACAGCAGCAGCAAGAACAGCAACAACAGAACCAAAGGAAAGGAGUUCAGUUUCCUAAGCCAAACCAACAAUAAAAAUACAAAGACGUUUCCUCGUUCCGG
rnacentral:lncRNA from 1 species